GUGAAUUGGCACAGAGGUUCAGAGCACUGACUGUUCUUCCAGAGGUCCUGAGUUCAAUUCCCAGCAACCACA
rnacentral:tRNA from 1 species